AAAAUGGAACCCGAGAACUGCAGGCCCAAGAGAGUGAAACCCUACUCCAAAGCCCUCCCAUCUCUUAUAAAAGGGACAUCACUCCUAGGGUUUCACCACAAGAGAGACAACAAGCGAAGCCCUGCCCGACUAGAACCUCGCCGCCGCCUCCCAUCGUCGACGACCAGCCGCCGCCGCCGGUCACCGCCGCCCGCUCGCCAGCCACCGAUCGUCCCGCUCGCAGCCCGAGCCGUCGAUCCCGAGCCCCCAGUCGUCGCCUCCUUGAUUCCUUCUCUUGUAACCUUCUCAGAUCUGAACCUCAAGAUCCGGAGAGGUGACCAACUCGUUUCCACUUCCUAGAACCAGAUCUACCCCUUCAAGAGACUAAGGUACGGCUGGGAGGGAGCAGGAGUAGGAGUCCGUAUGGUGCCAGUUGUUUUUCAAGUUCUUUUACUUUUCGAACUAUUUCCAUUUGAGUUUUUUUUUGUCUUUGGAUAACCUAUCCUCGGGUUAAGUUUCAGUUUUGUGUAAGACUAUCUUGAUUUUAAUAAAGAGUUUUUGAAUGAUUCGGAAAAGAGACCGGUUUAUAAAUGAUCCUCGGGACAGGGAUGUUACAGAGAUGCCACGUGGCAAGUACUGGAAGCUUUGUCGAAGAAGUUGAAUAGGUCUGUUAGAAGAAGGUCAGCCGUUUCUAUGUAAACCGGUAUUGUUUUGGACACGUGUAUAAUACUACUUACAGAAUUAAAUAAAGAAGCACAGUGCAGGCACCGGAUUCGAACCUGGAGCUUGUGCCCAUCAGUUCACUA